GAACCUUUACUAUAGCUUGACACUGAACAUUGAGCCUUGAUGUGUAGGAUAGGUGGGAGGCUUUGAAGCGUGGACGCCAGUCUGCGUGGAGCCGACCUUGAAAUACCACCCUUUAAUGUUUGAUGUUCUAACGUGGACCCGUGAUCCGGGUUGCGGACAGUGUCUGGUGGGUAGUUUGACUGGGGCGGUCUCCUCCUAAAGAGUAACGGAGGAGCACGAAGGUUGGCUAAUCCUGGUCGGACAUCAGGAGGUUAGUGCAAUGGCAUAAGCCAGCUUGACUGCGAGCGUGACGGCGCGAGCAGGUGCGAAAGCAGGUCAUAGUGAUCCGGUGGUUCUGAAUGGAAGGGCCAUCGCUCAACGGAUAAAAGGUACUCCGGGGAUAACAGGCUGAUACCGCCCAAGAGUUCAUAUCGACGGCGGUGUUUGGCACCUCGAUGUCGGCUCAUCACAUCCUGGGGCUGAAGUAGGUCCCAAGGGUAUGGCUGUUCGCCAUUUAAAGUGGUACGCGAGCUGGGUUUAGAACGUCGUGAGACAGUUCGGUCCCUAUCUGCCGUGGGCGCUGGAGAACUGAGGGGGGCUGCUCCUAGUACGAGAGGACCGGAGUGGACGCAUCACUGGUGUUCGGGUUGUCAUGCCAAUGGCACUGCCCGGUAGCUAAAUGCGGAAGAGAUAAGUGCUGAAAGCAUCUAAGCACGAAACUUGCCCCGAGAUGAGUUCUCCCUGAGACUUAGAGUCUCCUGAAGGAACGUUGAAGACGACGACGUUGAUAGGCCGGGUGUGUAAGCGCAGCGAUGCGUUGAGCUAACCG
rnacentral:rRNA from 1 species